UCCCUUAUAGCUCAGUUGGGAAAGAAUCUGCCUGCAAUGCAGGAGACCUGGGUUCGAUUCCUGGAUCGGGAA
rnacentral:tRNA from 1 species